AGAAAGGGGAUAUUAUACAUAGACCCCUUGUCGAUGGAGAUGUUGUGAUGAUAAAUCGACCUCCGUCUAUUCAUCAACACUCGCUAAUUGCUCUGUCUGUUAGGAUUCUUCCUAUAAAUUCUGUUCUUUCAAUCAAUCCCCUUGUCUGUUCUCCAUUCCGUGGGGAUUUUGAUGGUGAUUGCCUUCAUGGUUAUAUUCCCCAAUCAAUUGAUUCUACGAUUG
rnacentral:misc_RNA from 1 species